rnacentral:tRNA from 1 species
GCCUGGGUGGCUCAGUCAGUUGGGCGGCUGACUUCAGCUCAGGUCACGAUCUCCCGGCUUGUGGGUUCGAGCCCCACGUCGGGCC